rnacentral:rRNA from 1 species
AUGACAGAAACUAGCAAAAGGAUACCUGAAGUUGGUAUGAGAUUCAGAGAUUCACAUGAGGCCUGGGUGUUUUGGGUAGAAUAUGGGGGUCACAUAGGUUUUGAUGUGAGGAAAAGAUGCACCAACUUAAGCAAAUUUGAUGGAAAGGCGGCUUCAUGCAGAUUUGUUUGUCCCAAUGAGGGCAUUAGAAGGAAAGGGCAAACCGACCGUGAGCCAAAAUGUUUUAGAGCUGAAACAAUAACUAAUUGUAGAGUUCAGAUGGUUAUUAGAUUGGAUCGAGCUGCAGAAAAUUAUGAAGUUACUGAUGUUGAGCUGGAACACAACCGCUACCUUCAAUUGCCACAAACACGCCACUUGUUGGCAUCACAAAGGAAGAUUUCAGAAGUACAAGCUUUCGAGAUAGAAACCGCUGAUGAUUCUGGAAUCAUGCCAAAAGCUUCACAUGAAUUUUCUUGUCAUAAAGUUGGUGGACCAAUGAACCUUGGUUACACUUGCCGUGACCAAAAAAUCAUUUGCGACGCAAGCGGCAGAUAG